rnacentral:rRNA from 1 species
CAGCAGCCGCGGUAAAACAGAGGGUGCGAGCGUUAAUCGGAUUUACUGGGCGUAAAGCGUGCGUAGGCGGCUUUUUAAGUCGGAUGUGAAAUCCCUGAGCUUAACUUAGGAAUUGCAUUCGAUACUGGGAAGCUAGAGUAUGGGAGAGGAUGGUAGAAUUCCAGGUGUAGCGGUGAAAUGCGUAGAGAUCUGGAGGAAUACCGAUGGCGAAGGCAGCCAUCUGGCCUAAUACUGACGCUGAGGUACGAAAGCAUGGGGAGCAAACAGGAUUAGAUACCCGCGUAGUCCCUGUCUCUUAUAC